rnacentral:rRNA from 1 species
CAGCAGCCACGGGAAUACGAAGGGGGCUAGCGUUGCUCGGAAUUACUGGGCGUAAAGGGCGCGUAGGCGGACAGUUCAGUCGGGGGUGAAAGCCCGGGGCUCAACCUCGGAAUUGCCUUCGAUACUGGCUGUCUUGAGUAUGAGAGAGGUGUGUGGAACUCCGAGUGUAGAGGUGAAAUUCGUAGAUAUUCGGAAGAACACCAGUGGCGAAGGCGACACACUGGCUCAUUACUGACGCUGAGGCGCGAAAGCGUGGGGAGCAAACAGGAUUAGAUACCCCCGUAGUCCCUGUCUCUUAUAC